AACGAACGCUGGCGGCAUGCCUAACACAUGCAAGUCGAACGAGACCUUCGGGUCUAGUGGCGCACGGGUGCGUAACGCGUGGGAACCUGCCCUUAGGCUCGGAAUAACUCCCCGAAAGGGGUGCUAAUACCGGAUAAUUUCUUCGGACCAAAGAUUUAUCGCCUUUGGAUGGGCCCGCGUUGGAUUAGCUAGUUGGUAGGGUAAAAGCCUACCAAGGCGACGAUCCAUAGCUGGUCUGAGAGGAUGAUCAGCCACACUGGGACUGAGACACGGCCCAGACUCCUGCGGGAGGCAGCAGUGGGGAAUAUUGGACAAUGGGCGAAAGCCUGAUCCAGCAAUGCCGCGUGAGUGAUGAAGGCCUUAGGGUUGUAAAGCUCUUUUACCCGGGAUGAUAAUGACAGUACCGGGAGAAUAAGCUCCGGCUAACUCCGUG
rnacentral:rRNA from 1 species